UACGUAAGAGGGAGAGCAAUGGGGACGGGCAGGGACAGAGCUGCGGGCUGAGGUUCCUCCGUUCGGCGAAGCCCCUUCUCUCUGCCCCCGCCUGCUCUGGGCUUUCUUGGCUAUGUCUGCUCCUGACAGGAGGGAUGUGUGUUGCCAGGGGUGGGGGCUUGGCGUGUGUGCGUGUGAGAAUAUGUGUGUGUGUUUAAAAUACAAAAAAAAAAAAAAAAGAAGCGUGCCUAUACUCAGCCGCGAGACGCUGGCCAGCCUCCAUCCGUGCCAACUCCCCUCCGAGCUGGCACUGGGGACUCCGGAGGCACGGGGAGGAGGAAGGUGCGGGCAGCUUGCGGUGAGGAUGGACGCGUGCCACCGACGUAUGCCAGCGGCUGCAGGGGGCCAAACGCCUAUCCACAAAACCCACCGCGAUCGCUGGCAGCCGUGGCGGGAGGCGGCAGCAGUUGGCAGAGGUGCCAGGGAGGGCCGGCUGGGGCAGGUGGAUCCUGGCAGCAGCAGCGCAGGGGUCACGCUCCAGGCCUUUCUCCAAGCCCUCCCCGCGCUGGGACGCAUUUACCCGCCUGCCUGUUGACUUCGGCUGGCACCCACUCCUGGGCUGCUCAGAGCUGCUGCUCCCUGUUGAUGAGCACUGUUCUGAGCUUCUGCUUCUCCUCUGUGGGUACGAGGGCCGCUCUGGCAUUAUGUCUUCUAGACCUGCGCCUCCUUCAGACGUCAGGGCCGUGCACUCAGACACCUCCAGUGAAAGCUUUUGGGGUUUGGAUGGAUGGACAGAUGGACAAAUUAACAGCAUUCUGCACUUGGAAUGACAAAACUUUAGGCAAGAAAAGGGUCAUUGGAGAAUAUCUAGUCCAACACUCUAAUGGGAUAGAGAGGGAAACUGAGGCCAGCAGAAAGCAUGUCACCUGACCCAGUCACAGCCCUUGGAUACAGAGGGAAACUGAGGCCAGCAGAAAGGAUGUCACUGGACCCAGUCAGCCCUUGGAUAGAGAGGGAAACUGAGGCCAGCAGAAAGUGUGUCACCAGACCCAGUCAGCCCUUGGAUAGAGAGGGAAACUAACGCCAGCACAAAGGAUGUCACCGGACCCAGUCAGCCCUUGGCCUAGGACCUGCAGACAGGCCACCUGCUGCUUCUGUGACCCCCACAGCCCAGACUCACACAUCUUCCUCCAGGUCAGGGAGUGAAGGGGUCUGCAGUCCUCUCCAACUGAGGGCAGGGACAGUCUCUACGUCCUGAGACCCCAGGCCCCUGACCUACCUGCCGGCCUGCCUGGCAAGGGCACACCUAUCAGGUUGCACCAUAAGGCCACCGGGCUGGGUCUGACUCACCCACAAUCCAUCAGCCUGCUGGUCUUUACACAUUCUGGGAGAGGCAAGAAUCUCUGUAGUUGCUAAAACACUUCCUCUUGGUUAUUCUGAGAACUAAAAACACACAUUAUUUGAAAGUCUUGGGUUUAGUCUAAUCUAAACCCCUCAGGUCGUGACUUAAGCUCUGGCCUCAGAGGUCUCCAUUUAUGCUUGGAUGAGCCACUCCUUUGGUCUUUGUCCCCUCACUGGAAGGCAUGUCCAUGAGGAAAUGGGGAGAAGAAUAUAGAGCUAUGAACUUGGAAUUUUGGUGUCAGAAGGACCUAGGUUCAAGUUCAGGCUCUAUCACUAGCUAGGGACCUCACUUUCUUCAUCUGUAGACUGACGAUAAUAAUAGUACAUACCUCAAAAGAGCUGUGCAGAUUCAAAGUGA
ensembl:lncRNA novel transcript